ACUACACUCAAAAUAAUCCAAACGUCAUUGCUACGUGAAAAAUCACGUAGAUCAUUCCGCAUUCAUUUUGCCUCCUAUUCACUUGACUAAGGUAAUAAUUACCAGAGCAUAUAUGAACUCUAAAUGGAGACCCGGUGAUUCUUACUGGGGCUACCAAUCGCACUUACGUGAAAAUCACGUAGGCAUUUGAAUUCAUUUGGUCAUCGCGUUCAUUCUCUGUUGAGCUCAGUUGUCAAAAUGGUGGUCGAUACUAAAAAGAAGCUGCUGCUGCUGGACUUCAAACUAAUUUUAAGAACAAUUCCAAGAACGUUGAUUGUUUUGAAUGGAACUGACCCUGGACAAAUUUGCGAGGAACGUGCGUUUCAUGGACUGUUCCGACGGUCCCGUCGAUCGAUAUCGCGAUGGUGGUCAGUCAGUGUUUUGAAACCAUUAAUGGAAUAUAAUAGUUUAAUCCCUUAGUUAUUUGUCCUUUUUUCAAAAUAAACACAUAAAAAAGCAUGUGCAAAACAG